rnacentral:tRNA from 2 species
GGAGAGGUUGCCGAGUGGCCAAUGGCAACAGACUGUAAAUCUGUCGGAGUAAUCCUUCGAAGGUUCGAAUCCUUCUCUCUCCACCA